rnacentral:lncRNA from 1 species
AAAGGCUGCACAGUCUUAUGGAAGAGGAGUCACCAUCUAGCCUCAGUAAAGAGGACCUUCAGAAGGCCGGAAUGAAGCAAAAGGAGGAAAAAACACUUCGUUUCUCACCGUCCCUGCAUACAAGGAGAGACACAUUAAGCAGGAACUGCAAAAUGAUAAAGAAACGAUCGAGGAGCCCCAAAAACAAGCCGUGAACAAGCAUCUGAACAAGUCUUCAACCAAACUGUCUCUAAACAGGAAGUCUGUUAUAUAAAUUAUGCUUUAUUUUUAUAAUAUUACUAAAACACUGUAUUGGUGAAAAUAAAUAGACAUUGACAAAGACAUCCCUUGUUCUGUUUCUGCCGUCACAUUCCACAAGCACGUCUGCCUUUGCAGUUCCUUCUAGGUAAAGAGCCAAAUGCACAGAGGGCAGAAGGCAGAACGAUACCACAGCCAGGGGGUUCCAUAGACUUCUGAAGGGUUUGUCACAAAAGCAGAGAGACACCAUUAGCACAGAUAUUCAGAAACAUGGCGGAGCAAUUACAACUGUCUGCCUGGGCUUCUGGUGCGAUAGGUAAGGUACAUGCAGCACAGUAACAUGAGGCCAUGUGAUUUCCAAGUCAGACCCCAGGUCCGA